rnacentral:rRNA from 1 species
UGCCGAAGUUAACACAUUAAGCACUCCGCCUGGGGAGUACGGUCGCAAGACUGAAACUCAAAGGAAUUGACGGGGACCCGCACAAGCAGUGGAGUAUGUGGUUUAAUUCGAAGCAACGCGAAGAACCUUACCAGGUCUUGAUAUCUGAAUGACCGGUGCAGAGAUGUACCUUUUCUUCGGAACAUUCAAGACAGGUGGUGCAUGGUUGUCGUCAGCUCGUGUCGUGAGAUGUUGGGUUAAGUCCCGCAACGAGCGCAACCCUUGAUCUUAGUUGCCAGCACUU